UACAUCUUGGUGUAUGGUGCACGGUGGCUUUUGAUGCUUGAUAGUGAUAGUUUGAUUCUGUCGGAUGUAA
rnacentral:tRNA from 1 species